ACGCUGGCGGCGUGCCUAAUACAUGCAAGUAGAACGCUGAAGGAGGAGCUUGCUUCUCCGGAUGAGUUGCGAACGGGUGAGUAACGCGUAGGUAACCUGCCUGGUAGCGGGGGAUAACUAUUGGAAACGAUAGCUAAUACCGCAUAAGAGUAGAUGUUGCAUGACAUUUGCUUAAAAGGUGCAAUUGCAUCACUACCAGAUGGACCUGCGUUGUAUUAGCUAGUUGGUGGGGUAACGGCUCACCAAGGCGACGAUACAUAGCCGACCCGAGAGGGUGAUCGGCCACACUGGGACUGAGACACGGUCCAGACUCCUACGGGAGGCAGCAGUAGGGAAUCUUCGGCAAUGGACGGAAGUCUGACCGAGCAACGCCGCGUGAGUGAAGAAGGUUUUCGGAUCGUAAAGCUCUGUUGUAAGAGAAGAACGAGUGUGAGAGUGGAAAGUUCACACUGUGGCGGUAUCUUACCAGAAAGGGACGGCUAACUACGUGCCAGCAGCCGCGGUAAUACGUAGGUCCCGAGCGUUGUCCGGAUUUAUUGGGCGUAAAGCGAGCGCAGGCGGUUAGAUAAGUCUGAAGUUAAAGGCUGUGGCUUAACCAUAGUACGCUUUGGAAACUGUUUAACUUGAGUGCAAGAGGGGAGAGUGGAAUUCCAUGUGUAGCGGUGAAAUGCGUAGAUAUAUGGAGGAACACCGGUGGCGAAAGCGGCUCUCUGGCUUGUAACUGACGCUGAGGCUCGAAAGCGUGGGGAGCAAACAGGAUUAGAUACCCUGGUAGUCCACGCCGUAAACGAUGAGUGCUAGGUGUUAGACCCUUUCCGGGGUUUAGUGCCGCAGCUAACGCAUUAAGCACUCCGCCUGGGGAGUACGACCGCAAGGUUGAAACUCAAAGGAAUUGACGGGGGCCCGCAC
rnacentral:rRNA from 1 species